UACGUAGGGGGCAAGCGUUGUCCGGAAUCAUUGGGCGUAAAGCGCGUGUAGGCGGUCCGGUAAGUCCGCUGUGAAAGUCCAGGGCUCAACCCUGGGAUGCCGGUGGAUACUGUCGAGCUCGAGUCCGGAAGAGGCGAGUGGAAUUCCUGGUGUAGCGGUGAAAUGCGCAGAUAUCAGGAGGAACACCAAUGGCGAAGGCAGCUCGCUGGGACGUGACUGACGCUGAGACGCGAAAGCGUGGGGAGCAAACAGG
rnacentral:rRNA from 1 species